rnacentral:rRNA from 1 species
GUGGGGAAUAUUGGACAAUGGGCGAAAGCCUGAUCCAGCCAUGCCGCGUGAGUGAUGAAGGCCUUAGGGUUGUAAAGCUCUUUCAGUAGGGAAGAUAAUGACGGUACCUACAGAAGAAGCCCCGGCUAACUUCGUGCCAGCAGCCGCGGUAAUACGAAGGGGGCUAGCGUUGUUCGGAUUUACUGGGCGUAAAGCGCACGUAGGCGGAUUGGUCAGUUAGAGGUGAAAUCCUGGAGCUCAACUCCAGAACUGCCUUUAAUACUGACAGUCUAGAGUCCAGAAGAGGUGAGUGGAACUCCUAGUGUAGAGGUGGAAUUCGUAGAUAUUAGGAAGAACACCAGUGGCGAAGGCGGCUCACUGGUCUGGUACUGACGCUGAGGUGCGAAAGCGUGGGGAGCAAACAGGAUUAGAUACCCGGGUAGUC